rnacentral:rRNA from 1 species
CCUACGGGUGGCUGCAGUGAGGAAUAUUGGUCAAUGGGCGCGAGCCUGCACCAGCCAAGUCGCGUGAGGGAUGAAGGUUCUAUGGAUCGUAAACCUCUUUUAUCCGGGAAUAAAGUGUGGGACGUGUCCUCUUUUGUAUGUACCUUAUGAAUAAGGAUCGGCUAACUCCGUGCCAGCAGCCGCGGUAAUACGGAGGGUCCGAGCGUUAUCCGGAUUUAUUGGGUUUAAAGGGAUAGUAGGCGGCCUUGUAAGUCAGUGGUGAAAGGCUGGGGCUCAACCGUAGAAUGGCCGUUGAAACUGGGGGGCUAGAGUAUGUUUGAGGAAGGCGGAAUGCGUGGUGUAGCGGUGAAAGGCGUAGAUAUCACGCAGAACCCCGAUUGCGAAGGCAGCCUGCCAAGCCAUGACUGACGCUGAUGCACGAAAGCGUGGGGAUCAAACAGGAUUAGAUACCCCAGUAGUC